GUGGAGCAAGAUGACAAAAGCGAGAGCGAUGAAUUGGUCGUGUGGGAGAACCUCAGGCCGCACCAAAAUCUGACACAUUUGUCCAUAGACGGUUGUAUGAGGAGGAGUCCACCAAGCUGGCUUUCCUCCAUCAGGUGUCUCGUUAGGCUCACACUCUGCAAUUGUAGCAGAUGGAAGUACUUGCCACCCUUGAGUGAGCUCCCUUCCCUAAGGGAUUUGUAUCUCUUUCUCUUGGUUGAGUUGGAGUUCGUUCAAGAGAUAAGGGACCCACAACAAUCCAAUACCGCGUGCCCCUUCUUUCCAUCUCUAGAGACACUGCGCCUCGGGAUUUGUGGCAAAUUGAAAGGGUGUUGGGGAAAGAGGCUACUAGUGGGAGAAGAACAGAAUCAUGGGCGGUACGAUUCCCAAUCGUCAUUCCCAAAACUUUUGCACGUGCAAAUAUGGAAUUGUGACAACCUGAAUUCCUUGCCACUCUUGCCAUCAGUGAUAGACUUGGAAUUAUUUGGAUCGAGCUCGAAAGUAUUGGAACAUCAAGUGGAGGCCGUUCCAAAUUAUUCUUCAGAAGCAGCACUAGUAUCCACCUCCAUCCCCCUCUCUAAAUUAAAGAAAUUAUAUUUGGAUCAUAUUUUUGGCUUUGGAUCACUCGAUGCUCGAGACUCUACUUCCAGUCCUCCGUAAUCUCGAGUCCAUGAGCAUCUCCGGUUGUUCCGCACUAAGGAGUCUCUCUAGUGGCAUGCAGUACCUGUCCUCGCUCCAGCACCUCACUAUUGCCCAUUGUGAAGAGCUCGAUUUGUCGAGCCACGAUGAUGAGCAUGGUACCCAGUGGCGAUCCCUCGCGAACCUCCGUUCUCUUGAAAUCCAAGGACUUCCGAAAUUGGUGGCGUUACCCAGGGGCAUUCAACAUGUCACCACUCUGCAGUCUCUCUCGAUUGAUUCGUGUCGGAAUCUAACGAGCUUGCCGGAAUGGAUAGGUGAUUUCUCUUUGCUCCAAGAUCUUGAAAUUAUUCGCUGCCCAGGUAUAGAGUGUAUGCCUGAUGGGAUGCAGAACCUCACCUCCUUGAAGAGAUUAAGAAUUCGUGAGUGUCCAGUUCUGGAAGAGAGGUGCCAAAGAGAAGACGGUGCCGAUUGGGAAAAAAUCAAGGGCGUUGCACACUUAUUACGCUGACUCAAAAUUGUUCGGACGACUAAAGGAAACCAAUCAGUCCCCAACCCUCCAGUCCAGUUGCAGGGGAAUACCAAUGAAAGAAUACAAAAAAUG